UCCCUUAUGGCUCAGAUGGUAAAGAAUCUGCCUAAAAUUCAGGAGACCCAGGUUCAAUUCCUGGUUUGGGAA
rnacentral:tRNA from 1 species